rnacentral:rRNA from 1 species
AUUGAACGCUGGCGGCAUGCCUUACACAUGCAAGUCGAACGGUAACGGGCCUUCGGGUGCCGACGAGUGGCGAACGGGUGAGUAAUGUAUCGGAACGUACCUUCCAGUGGGGGAUAACGUAGCGAAAGUUACGCUAAUACCGCAUAUUCUGUGAGCAGGAAAGCAGGGGACCGCAAGACCUUGCGCUGAUCGAGCGGCCGAUAUCAGAUUAGCUAGUUGGUGAGGUAAAGGAUCACCAAGGCGACGAUCUGUAGCGGGUCUGAGAGGAUGAUCCGCCAAACUGGAACUGAGACACGGUCCAGACUCCUACGGGAGGCAGCAGUGGGGAAUUUUGGACAAUGGGGGCAACCCUGAUCCAGCCAUGCCGCGUGAGUGAAGAAGGCCUUCGGGUUGUAAAGCUCUUUCGGCCGGGAAGAAAAUCGUAUGGGUUAAUACCCUGUGCGGAUGACGGUACCGGCAUAAGAAGCACCGGCUAACUACGUGCCAGCAGCCGCGGUAAUAC